CACCGAAAGACUAAGGUUUCCUCAGCUAUGCUAAUCAGCUGAGGGUUAGUCGGGUCCUAAGGCGAAUCCGAAAGGAGUAGUCGAUGGAUAACAGGUUAAUAUUCCUGUACUUCUUAUAAUUGCGAUGGGGUGACGGAGUAUUGAAAGCACCGCGUACUGACGGAAUAGUACGUUAAAGGGUGUAGGUAUAAGGACUGAUAGGAAAAUCCGCAGACCUUGCUGAACCUGAUAGUACCGUGAGUCUUCGGACAAGCGGAUAAUGUCCCUAAACAGACUUCCAAGAAAAACCUCUAAGCUUCAGAUUAUAAGAACCCGUACCGUAAACCGACACAGGUAGUUGGGAUGAGAAUUCUAAGGUGCUCGAGAGAUUCAUGGCUAAGGAACUAGGCAAAAUGGACCCGUAACUUCGGGAGAAGGGUCGCCCCCUUAUGGGGGGCCGCAGUGAAGAGGUCCAGGCGACUGUUUAUCAAAAACACAGGGCUCUGCCAAAUCGAAAGAUGAAGUAUAGGGCCUGACACCUGCCCGGUGC
rnacentral:rRNA from 12 species